GACGAACGCUGGCGGCGUGCCUAACACAUGCAAGUCGAACGGAAAGGCCCUGCUUUUGUGGGGUGCUCGAGUGGCGAACGGGUGAGUAACACGUGAGUAACCUGCCCUUGACUUUGGGAUAACUUCAGGAAACUGGGGCUAAUACCGGAUAGGAGCUCCUGCUGCAUGGUGGGGGUGGGAAAGUUUCGGCGGUUGGGGAUGGACUCGCGGCUUAUCAGCUUGUUGGUGGGGUAGUGGCUGACCAAGGCUUUGACGGGUAGCCGGCCUGAGAGGGUGACCGGCCACGUUGGGACUGAGAUACGGCGCAGACUCGUACGGUAGGCAACGGUGGAGAGUAUUACACAGUGGGAGGGCGCCUGAUGCGACAACGCCGCGUGCGGGAUGACGGCCUUCUGGUAGUGAACCGCUUUCGCCUGAGACGAAGCGUGAGUGACGGUAAUGGGUGAAGAAGCACCGGCUAACUACGUG
rnacentral:rRNA from 1 species